CAAUCCUUUUCAUAAUAAAAGAAAAGGAACCAUAUUACAGUGAUCAAAUUCAUAAGGAAUUUUCACAUUUGUCUGACUCAAGAUAUGAAACUUAUCUCUGAAAGGGGCAAACAGAGAAUUCACCUUGAGGGAAAUAGUACGUGCAGCUAGGAGUUUGGGCUGUCUCCCUGAAACUUGUCUGAGAGGGUCAGCCUGUUGGGUGUUUCUGCAGGGAGGCUUGAGAGGAACUGCUGUUACCUGCUGAAUCACCCUCCCCACAUCCUGGCCCGCCUGCCUGCUCCCUGGGGGGUGUCUGCCCUUUUAGUAAAGGCCACAUUUGCUUAGAGAAAGAUGAGAUCACCACCUGCGUGAGUUUCAGGGAUGGCCAGAGAAUGGCCUCUUCAGAUGACUUGGGUCCACCCUCAGGAGUGUCAGAUGGUCUAAAAGAAAACAGAAAACGUCAGCUGUAUUCAUGGAGACAAUGACCAAGCAUGAGGUAAGGCUAUUUAUUUUGGGUCGACAUAGGCCAAGUUAAGGAGAAAGGAAACCAUUAUGUAGAUCAUUCAGCCUUUAAAACAUGCUAUGAAACAAAAUGGGUUUUUUUUAAAUGAUUCAAUAUACUUCAACAAAGUUUAUCUUAAUAAUAAAAGAUUCAUUUGCAACCA
rnacentral:lncRNA from 1 species